rnacentral:guide_RNA from 1 species
GAGAACAUAAAUCAAUGUAGAAGUGUAGUAAUGAGUGAUAUUG